AUGGGAAUUUCGGGAAAAAAAAUGGGAAAAUUCCGUUAAAAAAUGGGGAUUUUGGGGGGAUUUUGGGGGGGUUUGGGAGGAUCCAGCAGUGGCCAGGCUGGCACGGAGCCCAAAUUCCACGGAUUUGGUAAAAUUCCGGAAAAAAACGGGAAUUUCGGGAAAAAAAACGGGAAAAUUCCGUU